UACGAAGGGGGCUAGCGUUGCUCGGAAUGACUGGGCGUAAAGGGCGCGUAGGCGGAUGGCAUAGUCAGAUGUGAAAUUCCCGGGCUUAACCUGGGGGCUGCAUUUGAUACGUGUGAUCUAGAGUGAGGAAGAGGGUCGUGGAAUUCCCAGUGUAGAGGUGAAAUUCGUAGAUAUUGGGAAGAACACCGGUGGCGAAGGCGGCGACCUGGUCCUUGACUGACGCUGAGGCACGAAAGCGUGGGGAGCAAACAGG
rnacentral:rRNA from 1 species